UAUAUGCCGUUGCGGAUAUAAGCUUUUUUAAUUUUUAAUAUUUAAAAAUGGCUUUUUCAAACCAGAUUUCAUUUGAAUCAAGUGAAAAUAAUAUAGCUAGCCAAAGUUUUAACAAAUGUGAAGAUGAAGUUUUUAUAAACAUACUGUGCGAAUUGCCAAUACUUCUACAAAAAAACCAAGUUCCAAACGUUAAAAUAAAGAAAAACAAAGCAUUUUUAAAAAUGCAAGACCAAAUGUUCCAAGCAACAAAAACAAAAAUUGAUACAAAAACAUUGGCGAAAAAGAUUGCCAACAUGAAGACAAGGUUAAAAAAAAAAGUCUGACAUCCAUCGAACUGGAAACAAGCUUAUAAAACUUUCAGCGAGUGAAGUCAAACUUGCUAAUCUUUUAGGUACAGAAAAGAAUCCUACCUUCACACAAAUUGAUGGGGCAAUAUCUGCAGGCAUAAAUCAAACUCCCACUUCAAGUGUUGCUGAAACAAAUUCUGUAUUCAGCAACACAUCAAAAAGUCAAACUAUAUUUUCAUUGUCACCAUCAGUUGAAUUUUCUGGUAAUGUUAAAAGUAGUUUCAGGAACACAUCUUCUCAAGCAUCGAGGUUAAUUCCAAAAAGAUUAAAACUACCUGGUGAAACUAAAGAAACUAUAAAAUGGACAAAUACAGAGCUUCAGCGUGUGGUCAUGCUGGAGCAGCUAAAAUACUAUCAGUUGAAAAGUUUAAAGUUGAAAUAUACUACUCCCCACAUAUAAAUGAAGAGGAGAUAGA